ACGAAAUGCAUGCAUGUAGCAUUGUGCCUGAAUAAAUGAAUGAGUGAAUCAAUGAAUGGGAGGGAGAGUGAAUGCUGAGUGGGAGUCUUGGCUGUGAGGCGAGUAGGGGCAAUUCUGAUUGAGGCAUAGCCCUCUGGGGUGUUAGUGUCCAGCACCUGAGCAGAAAAAACAUGGUGGCCUGUCAAUGGGGUGUGGUUCACUGCCCCCAGGGGUGCUUGUAUGUAGGUUAGACUCAGAGUCCGGGGAGUGGCAGAGGACUCAAAAAAGACUCUCUCUGUGGGAAGACCACAUUACCACUCUGCUGGGGCAACAGCAGACAUUUCAUUCCUUGUUUUGUAGGGAUGUCAUGUGGGACAUGGGUCAGUCAAGCAAGACAGAAGUCUGGGGAUGAAGAUCGCAUACAGAGAGACAUCAAGGCCGUGGGAUCCCUGGAAGCGUUUCUGAGAGGCCGUUGUUGUCUCAAUGUUCAGAGUUCGCCACACUUCCUGCGGAGCCAUGAGGAAGGAGGAAAAGCUCUGUGUUGGGAUCCUAUCGUUUUCUGGCCGAAUAAUGCAAAAGCACAGGAUGGAGGUCUGCGCUCAGACAGGGCCAAGAAACACAGCUGUUAACUUGAAAAGGAAAUCUGAAUUCAAAAAGCAAGGAAUGGUCACACCAUCCGGGAGAGAUUAGAAGAAUCUCCAUGAGAAAGGGAGCACAGACCCUGCCAGGCACCCAACCUUCUGCCUUCAAUUCAAAAUUCUGCAGACCUUCUUGGCCUUUCAGCUAAGAUCAAGUGCAAAAUUCUGCAGCCGGUGCUCCUUUCUCAAGAUCUCUUUCCACACGUGUUCCAAGAGAAAGACGGCUGUGAGGCAGCAUGCAGAGCCUCUCAGAAUGUCCAAGACCUUCAAUACUAUUUGUUUCUUGACUUUUGGGUCCAGGGAUGGGUGGGAAAGCACUCCAGAAGGCCAGAAGGCGGGAGCUACAGCCUGGCUCCCCACGGUUCCUGUCUUCCCGCCUCGUUCCUCUGCACUGGCCAGCUGUGCAGGCAAGCCUGGAGCACAAACGAAGUUGAUUUGAAAGAGUACUUAAUUCAUAAAAACGUAACAUGCAUCAUUUUGUCGACAGGCUCACCUGCCCUUGGCAUAGAGGCGUAGGUCACCGGAGUCAGUUUCGAUCAAGGGGGAAAAAAUACUGUAGGCCAGCAUCAGAGAGUGUGAUAUCUUGUAGGAUCAUCUUUCAUACGGGCAAACAUCCCAAAUUACUGCUUAUGUAAUGAAACAUCAUAAUAAACCAUUGUAUUAAACACCA
rnacentral:lncRNA from 1 species